rnacentral:rRNA from 1 species
UAGAGUUUGAUCCUGGCUCAGGACGAACGCUGACGGCAUGCCUAAUACAUGCAAGUCGAACGCUGAACCUCUCUGCUUGCAGAGAGGGGAAGAGUGGCGAACGGGUGAGUAACACGUGAGAAACUUGCCCAUAAGCGGGGGAUAACAUCCGGAAACGGGUGCUAAUACCGCAUAAGUAAUCACAUCGCAUGACGUGAUUAUGAAAGGUGGCUCUGCUACCGCUUAUGGAUAGUCUCGCGGCGCAUUAGCUAGUUGGUGGGGUAAGGGCCUACCAAGGCGAUGAUGCGUAGCCGGCUUGAGAGGGUGAUCGGCCACACUGGGACUGAGACACGGCCCAGACUCCUACGGGGCGCAGCA